GACGUAGGUCGCAAACGUUAUCCGGAAUUAUUGGGCGUAAAGAGCUCGUAGGCGGCCUGUUGCGUCUGCUGUGAAAUCCCGGGGCUUAACCCCGGGCGUGCAGUGGAUACGGGCAGGCUGGAGGCAGGCAGGGGAGAAUGGAAUUCCCGGUGUAGCGGUGAAAUGCGCAGAUAUCGGGAGGAACACCGGUGGCGAAGGCGGUUCUCUGGGCCUGUUCUGACGCUGAGGAGCGAAAGCGUGGGGAGCGAACAGG
rnacentral:rRNA from 1 species